rnacentral:rRNA from 1 species
GAUCAUGGCUCAAGACGAACGCUGGCGGCGUGCCUAAUACAUGCAAGUAGAACGCUGAAGGAAGGAGCUUGCUCUUUCCGGAUGAGUUGCGAACGGGUGAGUAACGCGUAGGUAACCUGCCUGGUAGCGGGGGAUAACUAUUGGAAACGAUAGCUAAUACCGCAUAAGAGUAGAUAUCGCAUGAUAGCUGCUUAAAAGGUGCAAUUGCACCACUACCAGAUGG